ensembl:lncRNA
AAGCAGGCCUAUCACUGCCAUUGGCAGAGGAGCUAGAGAGAAGGGAAACAUCGGAUGCACAGUUGAAAGCAGUAGCAGCUUUUGUGGACAAAUGUACCAUCUUUGGAGCUGAGCUCCUGAGAAGGAUUCUGGAAAAGGAGAGCACCAUAGAUGCUACUGCUGAGAACCAGCUUCCUUCUUCUAGUCGGGGGCUUCAUGAACAAGAAGGCAUGAAAAACACGUUCAGCUGGUUUCUGCCCUGAGAAUGCUUUCAGACGUCAUGGAUGCUGUAAAUAUCUGGACUUCAAGCCCAGGAGACAGCAUCUCAAGUAAUCCUGAGCAAACCCUGAGAGUCCUGCUUUGAAGAGGUUAAGUUUGCAACAAAAGGGCAGGUAGUCUGAACAUCGAAAGUAUUUUUGUGAACUAAAGAAAACCAGAUAUCCCAAGUCUUUCCCAGCAUCAGGGUCUUUUCCAGUG